UACGUAGGGUGCGAGCGUUAAUCGGAAUGACUGGGCGUAAAGGGUGCGUAGGCGGUUUGUUAAGACGGAUGUGAAAGCCCCAGGCUCAACCUGGGAAUAGCAUACGUGACUGGCAAACUAGAAUAUGACAGAGGGAGGUGGAAUUCCAUGUGUAGCAGUGAAAUGCGUAGAGAUAUGGAGGAACACCGAUGGCGAAGGCAGCCUCCUGGGUCAAUAUUGACGCUCAGGCACGAAAGCGUGGGGAGCAAACAGG
rnacentral:rRNA from 1 species